GCCCCCAUGGUGAAAUCGGUAGACACC
rnacentral:tRNA from 1 species